UGCAGAACUGUCAGAAGAUGUGGCCUUUCACCGGGGAUGGUUAACUUUGGACAUGAAGCUGUCUGGGAUAUCACAACAGGUGUGCCAGCUGGAAUUCUGUUGAGUCAGUUGUGAAGCAGAAGUGGUGAUUUUAGUAUUCAACUGAUCCUCAGUCCCUCUGGAAGAGGGGGUGACAAGGAUUUUUGGAAGCCAGGAACAUGGAAAAGGACUUGGAUGUCACGGAGCUCAAACCUGGAGAUCGUGGGCACCCAAAGUCAAAGGGGUGCAGUUAUUGGGGAAUUUUUUUUCCUGUAGGCCAGAAAGCAUCUAAAUGGUCCUCUCACGUAUUGUUUUAACUGGUAAACCACCUGUACCUUGUUGGUCCAGUGUAUAAGGAUUGGGAGUCGUGAACUCCCAUGUGUGGUGCAAGUGGCAGCCCUGGGAGAUGCAUGCUACUCUACCUGUGUUCUCUGCUGAUGGGUACAGUUAUCUAAUUGAUAUGUGAUGGGAAAGGCUAUAAUCUUGUUCCAAAGCCUCUUACUAAUUGCUCAGACGUGUAAUCAGCAACAUGUUUUUUCAUCCACAAGUGGUCUUGUACACCUGUCCAAAUAAAUAUUCACUGUACUUAA